rnacentral:rRNA from 1 species
CCCUUAGAUGUUAUGGGCCGCACGCGCGCUACACUGAUGCAUUCAACAAGCCUAGCCUUGACCGAGAGGUCCGGGUAAUCUUUGAAACUGCAUCGUGAUGGGGCUAGAUUAUUGCAAUUAUUAAUCUUCAACGAGGAAUGCCUAGUAAGCGUGAUUCAUCAAAUCGCGUUGAUUACGUCCCUGCCCUUUGUACACACCGCCCGUCGCUCCUACCGAUUGAAUGUGUUGGUGAGGAGCUCGGAUUGGCAGCAGUUGGUGGUUCGCCACCGGCUAUUGCUGAGAAGUCCUCCAAACCGCCCCAUUUAGAGGAAGGAGAAGUCGUAACA